GCAUUGGUGGUUCAGUGGUAGAAUUCUCACCUUCCACGUGGGAGACCCAGGUUCCAUCCCCAGCCAAUGUA
rnacentral:tRNA from 1 species